GGCCUGUGAGGGUUGCUGGAGGUAUCAGAAGUGCGAAUGCUGACAUAAGUAACGAUAAAGCGGGUGAAAAGCCCGCUCGCCGGAAGACCAAGGGUUCCUGUCCAACGUUAAUCGGGGCAGGGUGAGUCGACCCCUAAGGCGAGGCCGAAAGGCGUAGUCGAUGGGAAACAGGUUAAUAUUCCUGUACUUGGUGUUACUGCGAAGGGGGGACGGAGAAGGCUAUGUUGGCCGGGCGACGGUUGUCCCGGUUUAAGCGUGUAGGCUGGUUUUCCAGGCAAAUCCGGAAAAUCAAGGCUGAGGCGUGACGACGAGGCACUACGGUGCUGAAGCAACAAAUGCCCUGCUUCCAGGAAAAGCCUCUAAGCAUCAGGUAACAUCAAAUCGUACCCCAAACCGACACAGGUGGUCAGGUAGAGAAUACCAAGGCGCUUGAGAGAACUCGGGUGAAGGAACUAGGCAAAAUGGUGCCGUAACUUCGGGAGAAGGCACGCUGACACGUAGGUGAAGUGAUUUACUCAUGGAGCUGAAGUCAGUCGAAGAUACCAGCUGGCUGCAACUGUUUAUUAAAAACACAGCACUGUGCAAACACGAAAGUGGACGUAUACGGUGUGACGCCUGCCCGGUGCCGGAAGGUUAAUUGAUGGGGUCAGCGCAAGCGAAGCUCCUGAUCGAAGCCCCGGUAAACGGCGGCCGUAACUAUAACGGUCCUAAGGUAGCGAAAUUCCUUGUCGGGUAAGUUCCGACCUGCACGAAUGGCGUAAUGAUGGCCAGGCUGUCUCCACCCGAGACUCAGUGAAAUUGAACUCGCUGUGAAGAUGCAGUGUACCCGCGGCAAGACGGAAAGACCCCGUGAACCUUUACUAUAGCUUGACACUGAACAUUGAGCCUUGAUGUGUAGGAUAGGUGGGAGGCUUUGAAGCGUGGACGCCAGUCUGCGUGGAGCCGACCUUGAAAUACCACCCUUUAAUGUUUGAUGUUCUAACGUGGACCCGUUACCCGGGUUGCGGACAGUGUCUGGUGGGUAGUUUGACUGGGGCGGUCUCCUCCUAAAGAGUAACGGAGGAGCACGAAGGUUGGCUAAUCCUGGUCGGACAUCAGGAGGUUAGUGCAAUGGCAUAAGCCAGCUUGACUGCGAGCGUGACGGCGCGAGCAGGUGCGAAAGCAGGUCAUAGUGAUCCGGUGGUUCUGAAUGGAAGGGCCAUCGCUCAACGGAUAAAAGGUACUCCGGGGAUAACAGGCUGAUACCGCCCAAGAGUUCAUAUCGACGGCGGUGUUUGGCACCUCGAUGUCGGCUCAUCACAUCCUGGGGCUGAAGUAGGUCCCAAGGGUAUGGCUGUUCGCCAUUUAAAGUGGUACGCGAGCUGGGUUUAGAACGUCGUGAGACAGUUCGGUCCCUAUCUGCCGUGGGCGCUGGAGAACUGAGGGGGGCUGCUCCUAGUACGAGAGGACCGGAGUGGACGCAUCACUGGUGUUCGGGUUGUCAUGCCAAUGGCACUGCCCGGUAGCUAAAUGCGGAAGAGAUAAGUGCUGAAAGCAUCUAAGCACGAAACUUGCCCCGA
rnacentral:rRNA from 1 species